GGGCAAUCAGCAUCGAGCUCUGGGAGGCAGAGCUGACUCAAGGGGGCAGAGGGGAAUCUUGAACCCACAAGUAACUUGGCAGCCACUCGCUGGCAUGCGGACAUGAGCAGCAUGAGAGAGAAUCCGAAGUCUCUUCAAGCUGGCACCUGUACACCUCUAAUCACUGUGUGUGUGGACGCACAGGGCGCAUGUCAACUGCAGUACGGCAGCAGGAGGAUCUCACCCAUUGUCUUACCGAUGUGCCCAGCCAAAUCGUGAUUUUUGUUUUCUUUCUUGCUAGUGGUAUUAUUUUUUAAAAUUAACAUUUAGUAUGCAGGGUAGAGCUGCUUAAACAAUACCAAUUAUUUUGCAUGGG
rnacentral:lncRNA from 1 species